ACGACUGCUAAGACUGGAUAGGAGACAAGAAGGCAUCUUCUUGUUUUUAAAAGGCCUAGCAAUAGGUAUGCUUAGGGAGGAGCUUGCGUCACAUUAGUUAGUUGGUGGGGUAAAGGCCUACCAAGACUAUGAUGUGUAGCCGGGCUGAGAGGUUGAACGGCCACAUUGGGACUGAGACACGGCCCAAACUCCUACGGGAGGCAGCAGUAGGGAAUUUUCGGCAAUGGAGGAAACUCUGACCGAGCAACGCCGCGUGAACGAUGAAGUAUUUCGGUACGUAAAGUUCUUUUAUUAGGGAAGAAUAAAUGAUGGAAAAAUCAUUCUGACGGUACCUAAUGAAUAAGCCCCGGCUAACUAUGUGCCAGCAGCCGCGGUAAUACAUAGGGGGCAAGCGUUAUCCGGAAUUAUUGGGCGUAAAGGGUGCGUAGGCGGUUAAAUAAGUUUAUGGUCUAAGUGCAAUGCUCAACAUUGUGAUGCUAUAAAAACUGUUUAGCUAGAGUAAGAUAGAGGCAAGUGGAAUUCCAUGUGUAGUGGUAAAAUGCGUAAAUAUAUGGAGGAACACCAGUAGCGAAGGCGGCUUGCUGGGUCUUUACUGACGCUGAGGCACGAAAGCGUGGGGAGCAGACAGGAUUAGAUACCCUGGUAGUCCACGCCGUAAACGAUGAGUACUAAACGUUGGGUAAAACCAGUGUUGAAGUUAACACAUUAAGUACUCCGCCUGAGUAGUACGUACGCAAGUAUGAAACUUAAAGGAAUUGACGGGACUCCGCACAAGCGGUGGAUCAUGUUGUUUAAUUCGAAGGUACCCGAAAAACCUCACCAGGUCUUGACAUGCUUCUGCAAAGCUGUAGAAACACAGUGGAGGUUAUCAGUUGCACAGGUGGUGCAUGGUUGUCGUCAGCUCGUGUCGUGAGAUGUUGGGUUAAGUCCCGCAACGAGCGCAACCCUUAUUGUUAGUUACCAGCACGUAAUGGUGGGGACUUUAGCAAGACUGCCAGUGAUAAAUUGGAGGAAGGUGGGGACGACGUCAAAUCAUCAUGCCCCUUAUGACCUGGGCUACAAACGUGAUACAAUGGCUGUUACAAAGGGUAGCUGAAGCGCAAGUUUUUGGCGAAUCUCAAAAAAACAGUCUCAGUUCGGAUUGAAGUCUGCAACUCGACUUCAUGAAGUUGGAAUCGCUAGUAAUCGCGAAUCAGCAUGUCGCGGUGAAUACGUUCUCGGGUUUGUACACACCGCCCGUCA
rnacentral:rRNA from 1 species